rnacentral:rRNA from 1 species
AUGGAGCUCAAUGUUCACCUUCGCGAUUUUGACGGUGAGCCCUUGUCUGGUCCGACACGUUAUCGUCAUCUUGUUGGGAGUCUUGUCUAUCUUGUUGUCACUCGUCCAGAUAUCCCCUAUCAUGUCCAUAUUCUGAGUCAGUUUGUUUCUGCUCCCACUUCAGUUCACUAUAAUCACCUUCGUGUUCUACGAUAUCUUCAUGGCACGAUUUCUCAUCGUCUCUUUUUCCCUCGUUCUAGCUCGUUACAGCUCCAGGCCUAUUCCGAUGCUACAUGGGCUAGUGAUCCUUCAUAUCGCCGUUCACUUUUUGCUUACUGUGUUUUUCUUGGUGGUUCUCUCAUUGCCUAG